CUACCACAACUACCACUUUUCAGGUACUGUAGUGACUGAGCCGAAGUGGGGGAAACAGCAACCAAACAACUACAACGGCAAGCAGGACUGUGUGGCGCUGGAUCGUGGUAGAAAAUGGUUGUGGAACGAUGUUGGUUGUGAGCUGGACUACCUACCAUAUAUCUGCAUGUCUGCCCCCAGGUCAUGCAGGUCGCCGGACAAGCAGGUCAACACCACGAUGGAGGUCACAGGUCACUCCACGGGUCAAAUCGUGACCUAUACAUGUCCAGUCGGGUCCAAACUUGUCGGAAACACGUCGAGAACAUGUUUGGAGGAUGGCGUGUGGAGUGGAGCGGCGCCAUCUUGCUUAUACAUCAAGUGUGGGGUUCCUGACGACAUAGAGGAUGGGAGCUACAC